UAGGGAAUAUUAGUAAUGGGCGAAAGCCUGAACUAGCAACGCCGCGUGUGCGAAGAAGGCCUUCGGGUUGUGAAGCACUUUUUGAGAGGAUGAGGAAGGACGGUACUCUCAGAAUAAGUCUCGGCUAACAACGUGCCAGCAGCCGCGGUAACACGUAGGAGGCGAACGUUAUCCGGAUUUACUGGGCGUAAAGCGCGUGUAGGUGGUUUGGUAAGUAGGGCGUGAAAGCUCCUGGCUCAACUGGGAGAGGCCGUUCUAAACUGCCGAACUAGAGGAUGGUAGAGGGAGGUGGAAUUCCGGGUGUAGCGGUGGAAUGCGCAGAUAUCCGGAGGAACACCAGUGGCGAAAGCGGCCUCCUGGACCACUCCUGACACUCAGACGCGAAAGCUAGGGUAGCAAACGG
rnacentral:rRNA from 1 species